rnacentral:rRNA from 1 species
GACGAACGCUGGCGGCGUGCUUAACACAUGCAAGUCGAAGGCACCCAGCAAUGGGUGACUGGCGAACGGGUGCGUAACACGUGAGCGACCUGCCGAUCAGAGGGGGAUAGCCGGCCCAACGGCCGGGUAAUACCGCAUACGCUCAAGAGGCUUCAUGGUCUUUUUGAGGAAACCUCAGGGACUGAUCGAGGGGCUCGCGGCCUAUCAGCUAGUUGGCGGGGUAACGGCCCACCAAGGCGACGACGGGUAGCUGGUCUGAGAGGAUGGCCAGCCACAUUGGGACUGAGAUACGGCCCAGACUCCGUACGGGAGGCAGCAGGUGGGGAAUAUUGCGCAAUGGCCGAAAGGCUGACGCAGCGACGCCGCGUGUAGGAUGAAGUCUUUU